AGCUCCAAUAGCGUAUAUUAAAGUUGUUGCAGUUAAAAAGCUCGUAGUUGGAUUUCUGGUGGGCGCGACCGGUCCGCCCCGCGAGGGGUGAGCACUGGCGUCGCCGUCCGCCAUCUUUGGGGAGAGGGCGUCGGGCAUUCGGUUGUUCGGCGUCGGAUCCCCAUCGUUUACUGUGAGAAAAUUAGAGUGUUCAAAGCAGGCUUACGCCUUGAAUACAUUAGCAUGGAAUAAUAGUCGAGGCUUUCGGUCUGACUUGUUGGUUUGCAGCCCGAGAGAAUGAUUCAAUAGGGAUAGUUGGGGGUAUUCGUAUUCAAUUGUCAGAGGUGAAAUUCUUGGAUUUAUGGAAGACGAACUACUGCGAAAGCAUUUACCAAGGAUGUUUUCA
rnacentral:rRNA from 1 species